GGGAAGUGGAGUUGAAAGGAUCUUCUGGAGGCCGGUGGUUAACUCUUGGUGAGAAGGAGGGAUGUGCCACCAACACUGGAUACGGAGUUUGGAAUCGGGAUUUUUGGCUGCACGGACACACAGGAGGAAGGUGAGCUGAUGCCUCAGCCCUGCGUUAGAGCCACAUAAUGGAAUAGGACGGAAGGGGAAAGACUCAUAGCAGAGGAGCAGAGAAAGUGGGAAUCCAGAGCUUUCUAGGAUCUUCUCAAAGGAAUCACCCGCUGAGAACACGACUUUAAAUUCCCGGAGUCCCCUUGGAAGGGAAAUCAGGCAUCAGCAGCUCCCACGUCCAUCCCCUGGGCAUCAGGCACCUUCCAGCCCCUAGGGGGGGAGUGGGGUCACUUCCAUGUUCCCCCUCAUUCCCCUGGAAAGUUUGCUGCCGUAGUUCCAAGUUCUGCUGGCAUUCCCUU